rnacentral:rRNA from 1 species
UACGAAGGGUGCAAACGUUUGCUCGGAAUUAUUGGGCGUAAAGCGCACGUAGGCGGUUCGUUAAGUCGGAUGUGAAAGCCCUCGGCUCAACUGAGGAAGUGCACCCGAAACUGGCGAGCUUGAGUACGAAAGAGGAUCGCGGAAUUCCCGGUGUAGAGGUGAAAUUCGUAGAUAUCGGGAGGAACACCGGUGGCGAAGGCGGCGAUCUGGGUCGAUACUGACGCUGAGGUGCGAAAAGCGUGGGG